rnacentral:rRNA from 1 species
ACGCUCGACACCUACGGGUGGCAGCAGUGGGGAAUAUUGCACAAUGGGGGAAACCCGUGAUGCAGCGACGCCACGUGGAGGAAGAAGGUCUUCGGAUUGUAAACUCCUGUUGUUGGGGAAAAAGAGGAUGGUACCCAACAAGGAAGUGACGGCUAACUACGUGCCUGCAGCCGCGGUAAUCUGAGCGGGCUGGCAAGGC